ensembl:lncRNA
AUCUCCUGUCGGGCCAUUCUAUUACAGUUGCUAAUGCAACUCACCAUGCAGCUGGAGUGUGUGAUCUGAUUACUGCCUUCAGGAUUGUUGUGACUUCCCGUGUGCUUUUAGCUCUGUGGUUCAGCCACCAAACAAACCAUCCCUGCCAGAAGGUUGGUGCUUCUUUCAGAGGCUCUCCAAAAACACAUCUCCCUAGUUACCAGAGGAGAUGAGGUGAGAUCAUGGCAGCCUCACUGCACCUGGUGCUCUUUGCUCUCUGUCUUCCUGGGACUGCCAUGGGUAUUUCAUUCUGUUUAGAGUUCUUGUUCAAGAGUGGAAGACUGUUUAAUUUUGAAAUGCAUGAGAAAAAGGCCUCAAAGAUGUACUGUGGGUUGCAUUCCUCCCCUGGAACUCAGAGACGUGACUGAUGACAAUGAAUGGGACUUCCCAUUGUGACCUUCUGUCUCUCUGGCUUUGGAUACAAGCAGGGGUAAGGAUGCCAGCAGUGAUGGAAACUGAGCCAGCAGGUCUCACUGCCCACACUGACAGCAGCACCAUAAUAGGCUGAUACUAACAGGGACCAGCGACCCUCUUUCGUACAGAUGAACAGUCUCCAUUUUAAUCCUUAAAGUGCGUGGAUGAACCUCUAUUGUUACCAAGAACAGAAAACUUGAAAUCAUCCAGAACUCCUUAUGAUCACCACAGCUGAAACAACUGCAGACAGCAAUGCUGAACUGUCAAGCCAUAUUAUAGAAAAAAGCAAAGAUGAUACUUCUUGGUAAACAGAGGUACAACAUUUCUCACGUGUCUUUCUGACUUCAGUUUUAAAAAGCAAAACAAACCAGCCCCAUGUAUGUUCUUCUUCGCUCAUUUUCAUCCCUUAAUCAGGACUGAUGCUCCAGGAUUUAGUGAUUUUUCAUGUUUUCUGUAAUCUGGUGUUUGAAUUGUUACUGUCAAUAAUUUGGAUUCCUGGAGAAAGCAGAAG